UGCAUCAAUUGCAUCAGCAAAUUCGUUGAAGUCCUUCAAGCUGGUUGAUAGUAUCUCUUCCCUUCUCUUUUGUCUUUCUUCUUCUGUGAUACCCAACAAAUACCGCAACAAACUACUGUAACCCUUAGCAUCUGGCAGCUGAUACGCAUCCACAUCUCCAAUGGUCCCAAUAAUUGAUUUAGUAAGAGUGUCAUCAUCUAUUUCUAACUCACGUAGAAAAUCACCAGUUCCAUCAUAUACAUCAAGUGUCUUCAGCAAGUUGGGGUCCCGAUAGGAUAAGAAGGAGAAUACACCUGAGUGAGUAUCAAAGUCGCAAAACCCUCCAUAUGCUCCACCACUUACACGCACUCGAUCCCACAACCAUGUAUUACUAAUGUACUUUGAAAUAACAUACGCACUCCCACUAAGCUGAUAUCCAGUGUCAUAAAUAUUAGCAGCUUUGCCAACAUAGUUAACCUGCGUAGGUAUCACAAUAGCUUCAUUUCCAGGUGAAAUUCGAGAAUUCCAAGUGGCAGUUUCGGCAAAAGAGUUGCUAGGAAGUGAGUCAAGAAACUUGCCAACAUAUUUUUCUGAGUUUGUAAGAUUUUUCCCAUCAGUGGUCAAGUUUAUCAAGCAGCCAUUCCUUGACAACAAGGAUGCACGAAUCUCCUCGAGAGAUGAAGAAACUCCAGACCAAUCUUGAUCAACUCUCUCCUCUAGGUCUUGUAAAAACUCCAGGUAGCUUAUGCCACCCAUUUGGUCAGAAAUCCACCCUGCAACAUUUAAUUUUGCAUCCAUCCUUGCAGCUGCAAUUCCAUGACCACUGCCUCUCAAUCGGUUCUCCAUUCUUGCUUUACUUUGGGAUACAAACUGCUUAAAACGCUGUUGGUCUGUAAACUGUACUUCUUGAAGUACACAAUUAACCAGGUUAAAUAAGUCUUCAGCUCGCCCUGCCAUUGCUUUUCCACGAACUAUUAUAUGGCCACACGGUUCCUCCUGGCCCCGAAUAGAUGAUGUGAAUGGAUAAACUGAUAUUCCCCCAGUUUUUCUCCCAAUCAACUGAUUAAGUUGUACAAAGGUAUAAUCUUUUGUACCCAUCUCAAGCAGUGACUGACAGAAAAGUGGCAUUAAAGAAAGGAGUUCUUGCUUCAGUGAUCUCAUAUUAAAUACAACUUCAGCAUAAAGGACAUCAUUAGUGAAGAGGUCAUGCCGCAAUACUUUCACUCCAUGGAUAUCCCCAACCUCUGUAGGAACAUGUAUAGGUUCUCUAGGAAUAUCCUUAAGAGAUAGACUUGGCACAGUUUUCAAAGCUUCUGGUGGAUCAGGAGUUUCCUGCUUCAAUCUUAGUUCCUGUGUUGCACGUGCAAGCUCAGCAAGAUCUUCUUCUGUCAUGCUAGCUUUCAAUUUCUCCAAGAUUUCUCUCUCAGCAGCCUCAUCACAAGUAGCUUUUUCUGGAUCAGGCCGCAUUUCUACAGUUACUCGAUGAGGAUUGUUCAAGAUGAAUUUCUCAAUUAGAGGAGAAAAAACAGCUUUAGAACCUUCCUCUGCUAUUCUAGCUUUGAGGGCCUUCAAAGGUUUCUCAUAUUUUAAAGGUUCAAAGGGAUCCCUAUCAUAUAUCCACUUACCAAUGGAUCGAAGCAUCAAUGAUAAGCCUCGAGGAAAUGAGCCAGUGUUGUUUUCCCUGAGAGAGAACUCAAUUGUAUUCAUGGAUGCCUCAACAGCAUCUGUCUCAAAUCCUUCCUCAGAUAAUUUCUUAAGCGUACUCAUGAUUAAUUCUUCUACCUUGUGAAUGUCUUCUUCAGAAACACCCUUCAAUCCAAUACUAAAUUGGGGCUGUAGCAGCUCAUCUUCAAUCCCACCACCAACAAUGGCAUCUCCCAGGCCACUUUCCAGCAAGAUUUUCCUCAAGGGAGAAGCAGGAGUUCCCAACAUAAGAUGAUCCAAAAACCCAAGUGUAAGCUCAGUUUCCAAGUCUAAGGGUUUUUCAGAAAGCAACCAAUUAAGGCAUACCAUAUGCUUCUUUUUUAAAUCACCCCCUUCACCAGCAGGAUAUUUCUCAACAAUCCUGACUGGCUCAGGGAAAAGCUUUUGCAGUUCAAUCUUUGACUCAUUUGGAGCUGAGCUAGCAUCAAACACAUCCAGAUACUCACUCAAGAUGCGUAAACGCUCAACUGGAUCAUCAUCUCCAUAAAACCAUAUCCUGGCAUUGCUGGGAUGGUAAUAUUUACGGUGGAAUUCCUGAAAUUGCUCAAAUGUCAAUUUAGGGAUGACUUUUGGAUCACCUCCACUAUCAACACCAUAGGUAUUGUCUGGAAAGAGUGCCUGUUGAGAAGUCCGCCCCAAUAUAUUAUCAGGCUGAGAAUAAACGCCCUUCAUCUCAUUAAAAACAACACCUUUAUAACAUAUUUCUUCUGAAGGAUUGUUGAGCUCAAAAUGCCAACCCUCCUGUUGAAAUGUCUGGUAGUCCUCCACACAUUUAGGGAAGAAUACUGCAUCCAGGUAUACAUCAACCAAAUUGUAGAAAUCCUUUGUAUUUGUGGAAGCAACUGGAUAGCAAGUCCUGUCUGGAUAUGUGAAUGCAUUCAGAAAAGUAUUUAAGCUGCCUUUCAGCAGCUCAACAAAUGGUUCCUUCAAAGGAUACUUUCUUGACCCACAUAAUACACUGUGUUCCAAUAUGUGUGGAAUGCCUGUUGAAUCCUUGGGAGGAGUUCGGAAAACAAUGCCGAAAACUUUAUUCUCAUCAUCGUUGGAAACCGACAUGACUUCAGCGCCAGUCUUCUUAUGUCUGAACAGCACAGCCUUUGAUUUACACUCCCCAAUGAACUCUUCGGAAACCUUUUCAAAGCCAAACUUCUCGGCAACCUCAUCCGGCACACUAACAACAUCUGGAGAGGACGGAGCUGGCUGUGUGGCAACAGCUGAAGUGGAGAGAGAGGAGAAGUGUUUAUUAAAGCGAAGAAAAGAGGAAGCGGUGGCUGCUAUAGGGUACACCUUCCAGUGGCGGCGAACGAGGGAGCGUCUGUUAAGAGCAGUAAUCGGACGGUGGGAAAUGUGAUGAACGGAGAAGGAUGAAGGAGAGGAGAAGGAAGAGAAAGAGCGAGGAAAUCUGCAAGGGAAGAAGAAUCUGUUGCAAGCAAGAGAGGAAGAGGAUAGAGAACGAAGGAAAGCUUUUCCCUCCAUGGCAGAUUGAAUUAGAUAACCCUAAUGAAGGAGCUGCAGAGGCGUUUAUCUCUCUUAUAUGAGCUCAGGUUUUG
rnacentral:misc_RNA from 1 species